rnacentral:lncRNA from 1 species
ACUGCCAGAAAGAAUAUCUUGUGCCCAGAGCGUACCAGGUGAGUAUGAUGAGUACAAUAGUCCAACAGUCCAGCAAAGUUACGCUGGUGAUGUACGAGUAUUGGUAGGCCUUGACAACAGCAUCAUAAUUUUCAGGAUGACAAUAUGUUUAGAUGCUCAUCUUCUGCAUAGAAAAGCAUCUCACUGAAAGUUAUCGGUGGCAUGGAUUCUUUGUAAAUGCUGUGAUCCUUGUACUCAGUACUCACAAAGAUAGUUCCCCUGUACAUCGAUGAAGGCCAGGGCCAGAUACCAAUACCAAGCAACCUGCAGGACGAGAGCACUUAUAACGGUGAGAGCUAUGAAUUUAAGCAGCUUCCAAGGUUGAUUCUUAUGCAAUUAUGCUUACUUGCAGCUUCCGCCGUCGAUACAGGACAAUUGGCACAUAAACUGAGAUCAGCAAAAGGUACGUGAAGAAAGAUUGCGUGAGUGGUGCAUCAACUCCUGCAUAGAUAUGUUUAUGGGAACGAAUUGAUGCUCUCUAUCG